GAUGAACGCUGGCGGCGUGCCUAAUACAUGCAAGUCGAGCGAACAGAUAAGGAGCUUGCUCCUUUGACGUUAGCGGCGGACGGGUGAGUAACACGUGGGUAACCUACCUAUAAGACUGGGAUAACUUCGGGAAACCGGAGCUAAUACCGGAUAACAUUUGGAACCGCAUGGUUCUAAAGUGAAAGAUGGUUUUGCUAUCACUUAUAGAUGGACCCGCGCCGUAUUAGCUAGUUGGUAAGGUAACGGCUUACCAAGGCGACGAUACGUAGCCGACCUGAGAGGGUGAUCGGCCACACUGGAACUGAGACACGGUCCAGACUCCUACGGGAGGCAGCAGUAGGGAAUCUUCCGCAAUGGGCGAAAGCCUGACGGAGCAACGCCGCGUGAGUGAUGAAGGGUUUCGGCUCGUAAAACUCUGUUAUUAGGGAAGAACAAACGUGUAAGUAACUGUGCACGUCUUGACGGUACCUAAUCAGAAAGACACGGCUAACUACGUG
rnacentral:rRNA from 1 species